UAUUUCCCAUGAAGAGAUGGAGCCAAAUGCCGUGACCUUAGUUUUUUGAAUCCCGAGAUUCAAGCCAGCUUUUUCACUCUCUUCUUUCACUCUCAUCAAGAGGCUCUUUAGCUCCUCUUCACUUUCUGUCAUUACAGUGGUAUCAUGUGCAGAUCUGAGUUU